UAUCAUACAAGGAAAAAGUCAAUGAAGAUGAUCUCACUAAAUGGUUGCGCCAAGAAGCUGUAAAAUGGGCAUGUAUCUUUGGUGAUACACACUGUCAGCAAAUUGCUACUGAUAGAUUGAAGGAACACCUAGAAGAUCCUACAAAUCCCAAACUUUCGCUGGAAUGGAGAGAAUGGACGUACUGUAAAGGUGCGAUAAAAGCGAAUGAAAGUGUUUUGCUGAAAUUGAAAGAAUUAUUAAACAUAAAGCAUUCUAAAAUUUUUAAUUAUAUUUCAUGCGCUGAAAUACCCCAUUGUAUAAUCGACAUUUUCUAUUCUGCAUCUCUUAAAGAGAAAGACAGAUAUCCCACUCUUUUCUCUUAUGCCAUCUUUGUAGAUUAUGCAGUGAAACAUAUAAACGGCACCAUAGAAAUUAUGAAAGAGCACAAGUAAUAAACUUGUUUUUAUAAAUUUCUGUUUCAAAAUUAUGGCAAGUUUCUUUAGCAGUUUAGUUUAAUUAUAACUCUAUUAAUUCGUUUCCUUUUGCAGUGCUUCACUUUCUGAUAAAAUCAAAUUAUUAGUUGUUAUUAUAAAUCACUUAUAUUCUGAAGUAGAAGUUCAACAGGUAAUUUUUAUGACGGUAUUCUUAUGUUUAAAUUUGCUGACAC